UUUAUAUUGUAAAUAUUAAACUUAUUUUCCUAUCUAACCACGAGAAAUAUCUAUUAUCUAUUAUCUAUUAUCUUCUAUUACUUUACUAUUCAUUAUUUCUCCAAAAUCUUACCACGUGGUAGUAUUCUCUUUAAUGUUGUUGGUUGUGGGCUCCAUCGGUUUCUUUUUCUUUACUUGAACCGAACCGGAUUGUCAAGUAUGAGUGCCAUCCUGAACCGACUCAAGUCCUCCAAAUAAUUUCACCUUUCUUUACUUGAACCAAACAUGGUUUCUUUCUAUCUUUACUUAAACCAGACCGAGUCAAAUUGCUUCAUUGGGCUGAACCAGAUCAAUUGUUUAUACAUUUUCAUUUUUGAACCGCAUUUUUCUUUUAGUUGUUUGAACCGAACCGAUUAUAGUUGAGUGAGACCUCUACCCUAAACUGGCUUAAGUUUCUUUUUUUUUUUUUUUGCCUGAGCCAAACUAGUGCCCUCUUUUUUUGCUUGAACUGGUUUGCUUCAUUGGACCGAACCAAACCAAUUGAUUCAUAGUUUCCAUCUUUCAACCAGUUUUUUUUGUUGAGUGAGGGUUCAACGUUGAAUAAUUGUAUUAAUUUGUAUAUUUGUUAAGUGAGGGUUCAACGUUGAAUAAUUGUAUUAAUUUGUAUAAGCACCACACUUUAAAUCGAACUUACUCAUUUUUUCUUCUAAAUUAUUCUAUUAUCUUAAUAGUUUGCAGAAUAAAAUUAUAUAAUUUUUGUCAAAUAUUAUUCCAUCUGUGAACAAAAAAAAUAUUUUUUUCUCCUUUUCUUUUGCUUCUCUAUAUUGAAUUUUUGCUUGAAUACUAAUUCUGAAAUUUAUUUAGCAGUGAAAAAAAAAUAUUUUUAAGUAAUGAUAAUUUAUUAUAAUAUUGUAUUAUUUAACUAAACAUAUACUUUCUAAUAUUAAUUAUAAAUUAAAUAUAAUAUUAACUACCCGCCGCAUUGCACAGGUAACUUAACUAGUUAAAAC
rnacentral:lncRNA from 1 species